CACUCUUGCAGUGCAGCUCGAGCAGCGCACGGUACCACUCAUCCUGAUCCGCCUCGCUCUCUGCGGCCACGGCGAAGCUCUCUGCGCGCGUGUAGAGCACGAUCAUGUGCUUGUGCUUGGCGUCCGCACGCUUGUUGAUGUUGAAGCACGUCUCGAGCGCGAGGGCCCGUUUGGGCGCCGCUGCUUUGCUGCCGCGGAACUUCUUCUCGCUCUCGUAGUACUCCAGGCGCGCGGGACCGCGCUCCGAGGCCGCGCGCAACACGAAGUAGCGCCGGUGCAUGGACUUCUGCUUGCGGAGAAUUCCUGCCACAUCAGCUGCGUGGUCAACCUUCCAUUUGCAGGCAACAUACUUCUCUGUUCCAGAGUCCUCUUCUUCCCUCCUGAUGUGCCUCCAGCCAUGUUCCACCCACUCCACCCCACCCCACUAGUUAAGCGUCAUGCCUUCAACACAGUGGCCAGGGUUUGACCCCCAGCCUCAGAAUUCCUGCCGCAUCAGCUAUGCCAUCCACCUGCCAUUUGCAAGCUAUCCACCGCUCCAUUCCCAAGUCCUCUUCUCCGCUCCUGGUCUGAUUCUGGCCAUGCCCCCCCUGCUGGCAUGCUGGUUAAGCAUCAUGCUUUCAACACAGUGACCAAGGUUUAAUCCCUGACUCAGACGUCUAUGCACCACUCACUUAUUUUCCUGCACAGUAAAUAAAUACUGCACCUUCAA